CAGAUUUCAAACUACCCAAGUGGAAUGACCAGAUAAAAUACAAAUACGUCAAUUUGCUCAGGCCCAUUUUCGGCUGGCCAAACCAUAGUACUAUCUAUGACCAUGGCUAUACCAGCCAUAGUGGCCCUAACAGAUAUCUAUAGUCACGACAUUACUUAGCCACAGGUGACCCCUAUAGAUAUUGCGAUAUUACUCUCGUUAAAGGGUACACUGUCAUCCACUAAGAGUAGUCUUCUUACGUCUUUUUAGACCAGAUAGGGGAGGAGGAAACAGAUACCCCGAAUGGUAAGGGGAAUAGAUACCCCUCAGAGAUAAAAAGUCUAACGAGACACUUAAAAUAAUAU
rnacentral:lncRNA from 1 species